UCAUUCCUCUUUACUAGUCUAUGAAUUGGCCCAGUGGAGCUACAAAGAAAUUCUCCUAAAGCGCCUAUCACAAUGCCUGGGCACCUGGAAGGCGCUCAAUAAAACGCUAGCUGGGCCUCGGGGUACAGAUGGAGCAGGACGGCUGAGUCGCUGCAGAAGCGCUUCCAGGUUCUCAGCAUACGGACUGCAGCCAUCUUACCCCGGAAAUGACAACAGUGCCGCAAACUGGAGAGACUCUCCUCGGCGCGGCCUAUCAGGAGAUGGGAAACGCGCCUCCCCCUGGGCGACCAAUAGGGAGGGAAGAAACGAGCCUCCCACCCAACAGCCAACCAAGGAGUAGGGCGGAGCCUGAGCUAAACCCUAGGAUCUGGGACCCAGCGGGGAGUGAAAAGAGCCUGGGGGACGGAGGCGGGGCAGAGGGCAGCCCAAAUUUAACACUGCUGUGUAAAUACAGAUGCACCAAAGAUAAUCUUUUUAGUGUAUGUGAUGGGGAAAAUAGAGAGUGUUAAGGAAACACAAAGAAAGGUACUUACCUCAAGAAAGUUAUGUUGCAGUAGGACCUGAGCGAUGAGUUGGAAAACAUUUCCCCGUCUUCAUCUUGUAGUGUAGCCGCCCCAAAUACAGAAAAUAGAAUAUUUCUAUACGUUGUAGCAAGGCUCUGGACAACUAGUUGUUUCACAAGUCCAUACAGCAGUACUUCCCAAUGACUGCCUUUUUUACUCCCAUUUAUGUUUUUGAUUACCAAAAUUGGCUAAUCAAUUUUUUUCAUGAAAGAUGAACAUUACCUAAUGUCUAAAAUAAACAUGUUAUCAUCUUUCUUUUUACAGACUGCUAUCAGAUGCAGCUAACUAGCAUAUGCAAUACAUGUCACAGACACAUGAUCUUGAUUUAGUUGUCUCUUAAAGAAAUGUCAAAUUCAGGUCAAGUGGAACUGGUAAAGAACAGAUCAGAGCUUUCUUUUAAAAGGCAAUCUUCCUCAGAGCAACUAGGAAACCAAUUCCUGGAAAUGUCCAGGAUGACAUUAGUCUGUUAUUGCUUCUUACGUGGGAAUGAAAAUCUGCACAGAUGUCUAAGGAAUUACAGAGAAAAAAAACUGGAACAAAUACAUUUUAAAUGCUCAACAUUGAAGAUUAGUGGUUAUGAAACAAAAUCUCAGGUAUUUCACAACUUCAUUGUUUAAUAUGACCCAAACACUUUUCCCCCUCAUUUGCCAUUUUAUGUAUUACACAUCUACACACAAAAAAUCAAUGCAAACAAUAAAUCUUAUUAUCUUUUUUGUUUGUUUGUUUGUUUGGUAGAGAUAGGGUCUCUUGGGCCAGGCGUGGUGGCUCCUGCCCAUAAUUCCAGCACUUUGGGAGGCUGAGGCAGGCAAAUGGCUUGAGCUCAGAAGUUCAAGAUGGGAUCUCUCUAUGUUGCCCAGGCUGGUCUCAAAGUCCUGGUCUCAAACUGCGAUCUUCCCAUUUCAGCCUCCCAAAGUCCUAGGAUUACAGGCAUGAGCCACUGGGUCCGGCCUAAAUAGCUAUCUUUCUCAGAAAAUCUAGAGUAGUCAAAAGAAUUUCAAGUUUUUACAUUUCCUUAAAAAUGUUUAUAGACAUUAUUAAUAUAUUUGAUAAUCCCACAAGCAUGUGUUUGUAUAAAAAGCAGUGGCAGUUGUACCUUUGAAGUGAAUCAUCUCCCUUCCAAGCUGCUGCUAUACAACUUUCUUUGUCCUAAUUUCGUUUUUAACUGUACCUGCUCCUCAGAAGAUAACUAGUUUAUUUUCCUUUACCGUCUUCUUAUGUCAAUGGAUUCUUGCUUCUAUAUUCAGUAUAAUAUGUGUCCUUAUCUUUCAUUCCAGCAUCUGGAAAGAAAUACACCAUCUAUUCCCUAGUUAAUUCUUUUAUUCGAGUUUGAAAGAAACAAAGACCCCAUUUCUUCUCUUUUUUUAGAUUUAAAAAUGGCCAGUUAUGACCCACCAAUUCCACUCCUGGAUAGCUACAUAAGAGAAAUGACAACAGUGUUCACACAAAGACUUGAAUAGGAAUAAUCAUAACAGCAUAACAGCCAAAAUCUAGAAACAGCCCAGAUGUCCAUUAACAGGUGAAUAAACAAAAUGUGGUACAUCCAUAUUCUGAAAUAUUAUUCAUCCUUAAAAAUGACUGAAUUAGCGAUAAUUGCUAUGACAUGGAUGAAUGUCAAAAAAAUAUUAUGCUAAGUAAAAGAAUACAAGCACAAAAGAUCACAUAUUACAUUAUUCCAUUUAAAUUAAAUGUCCAGAAAAUGUUGAUUUAUAGAGAUGAAAAACAGAUUAGUUUUAGUUAUAUUAGUUAUAUAAUAAGAUUAUAUUAGUAUUAUUAAUUAAUAAGGUUAGCAUUAGAAAACAAAUUCGCCUGGGGCUAGAGGUGGAAGGGGCAGUGAUUGCAGAGGCAAGAGAGAUUUUUUUUGUGGUGAUGAAAAUUUUCUGUUGCCACUUUGUGGCAAUGAUUGCAUAAUUCUGUACAUUUACUAAAAAUCUUUGAAUUAUACACUUAAGACAGGUGAAUUUUAUGGUAUGUAAAGUACACCAUAAUAAAGCUGUUAAAACUGUGUUAUAUGAGACAAUAAUGAACAUAUGAAUAAAAACAAAUACAUAAGUCUGGACGUGGUGGCUCAUGCCUGUAAUCCCAGCACAUUGGGAGGCGAAGGCGGGUAGAUCACGAGGUCAGCAGUUCGAGACCAGCCUGGCCAACAUAGUGAAACCCCAUCUCUACUAAAAAUACAAAAAUUAGCCAGGCAUGGUGGCAUGCGCCUGUAGUCCCAGAUACUCGGGAGGCUGAGGCAGGAGAAUUGCUUAAAUCUGGGAGGCGAAGGUUGUGGUGAGCCAAGAUUGUGCCAUUGCACUCCAGCCUGGGCAAUAGAGCAAGAUUCCAUCUCAAAACAAUACAAAACAAAUACAUAUGUCACAUGAUAAUAUAACAAAAACCCUUGAACCUAUCACUCAACUUUAAGAAAUAGAACCUAUGGAAAAACACAUUAUGUAGGUUGUCUAAAAAUAAAAUACAUUUUAAACUAAAAAAAAAAGAAAUAGAAUCUUUCCCGUUAGUGAAGAUCACUGUCUGCUCCUUCCUUUACCUCUCCCCUUCAUAAGCGUUAUCUUGAAUUGUGUUUUUCAUUCCUUUGUUUAUUUUAGAAUUGACCACAUAUACAUAUAUGGAUGGAUGCCUAGUAACAUAUUAUUUACUUUUGCUUGUUUUUGAGUCUCAUAAAAAUGGUAUUAAACUGUAUGUAUCUUUCUGCAACUAGUUUUUCUGACAUGAUUUAUUUAUCCAUUCUCUACUGAGUGGAUAUUUGUGCUAUUUCUAGUUAUUUGCUAUUACCGUCAGUGCUGUUAUGAACAUUCUUGAUCAUUUCUCCUGGUGCAUGUUCUAGGGUUUCUUUAGCACAGCGCUUCUCAGACAUUAAUGAGCAUUCAUAGCAACCGGGGAUCUUGUUAACAAGCAGAUUCUAAUUCAGUAAAUGUGGGUAAACCUGCCAUUCUGCAUUUCUAACAAGCUCCAGGUGAUACAAAUGCUAUUGGUUAGCCAACUACACUUUGAUUAGUAGGCUUAGGAUAAAUACCUAAAAGUUGAAUUGUUGAAACAGGGGUUAUGUUUAUCUUCAAGUUUACUCUAGAUAAUACGAGAUUGUUUUCCAAUGUGAUUGUACAAACUACAUGCCUAGCUGCUGUAUGUUUAUUGUUUCUCAUUUGAUAUUGUCAGAUUUAAAAUUUUCCCCCAAUUUAGUAAUUAUAAAAUGAUGUUAUAAUCUUAAUUUGAAUUUCCCUGAUUAUU
rnacentral:lncRNA from 1 species